UACGUAGGGGGCUAGCGUUGUCCGGAAUCAUUGGGCGUAAAGAGCGUGUAGGCGGCCCGGUAAGUCUGCUGUGAAAGUCAAAGGCUCAACCUUUGAAUGUCAGUGGAUACUGCCGGGCUAGAGUCCGGAAGAGGCGAGUGGAACUCCUGGUGUAGCGGUGGAAUGCGCAGAUAUCAGGAAGAACACCAACGGCGAAGGCAGCUCGCUGGGACGGUACUGACGCUGAGGUGCGAAAGCGUGGGGAGCAAACAGG
rnacentral:rRNA from 1 species